rnacentral:rRNA from 1 species
UACGUAGGGGGCUAGCGUUGUCCGGAAUCAUUGGGCGUAAAGAGCGUGUAGGCGGCCCGGUAAGUCCGCUGUGAAAGUCGGGGGCUCAACCCUCGAAUGCCGGUGGAUACUGUCGGGCUAGAGUCCGGAAGAGGCGAGUGGAAUUCCUGGUGUAGCGGUGAAAUGCGCAGAUAUCAGGAGGAACACCAAUGGCGAAGGCAGCUCGCUGGGACGGUACUGACGCUGAGGCGCGAAAGCGUGGGGAGCAAACAGG